rnacentral:piRNA from 1 species
UAAACUUACGUGCCACCUUCUGAAAUCCC